rnacentral:rRNA from 1 species
UGGGGAAUAUUGCGCAAUGGGCGAAAGCCUGACGCAGCGACGCCGCGUGAGGGAUGAAGGUUUUCGGAUCGUAAACCUCUGUCAGAAGGGAAGAAACCGCACUGUGCUAAUCAGCAGUGCCUUGACGGUACCUUCAAAGGAAGCACCGGCUAACUCCGUGCCAGCAGCCGCGGUAAUACGGAGGGUGCAAGCGUUAAUCGGAAUUACUGGGCGUAAAGCGCACGUAGGCUGCUUUGUAAGUCAGGGGUGAAAUCCCACGGCUCAACCGUGGAACUGCCUUUGAUACUGCUUAGCUUGAAUCCGGGAGAGGGUGGGGGAAUUCCAGGUGUAGGAGUGAAAUCCGUAGAUAUCUGGAGGAACAUCAGUGGCGAAGGCGGCCACCUGGACCGGUAUUGACGCUGAGGUGCGAAAGCGUGGGGAGCAAACAGG